rnacentral:sRNA from 1 species
AGCCUAAACCGCCGAGCAAUCGGCGGCAUGGCGAAAAGUCCAAUGAAGCAUGGAAAACCCAUCAUGGGAUUGCUUCAUUGGCCGUACGGGGAAACCCGUAUGCUCGGCGCAAGCCGGG